rnacentral:tRNA from 1 species
GGAGCGGCCAUAACUCAAUGAUAGAGCAUCUGCUUUGCAUGCAGAAGGCCCCCGGUUCAAUCCCCGGUGUCUCCA